UACGUAGGGUGCAAGCGUUGUUCCGGAAUUAUUGGGCGUAAAGAGCUCGUAGGCGGUUUGUCGCGUCUGCCGUGAAAGUCCGGGGCUCAACUCCGGAUCUGCGGUGGGUACGGGCAGACUAGAGUGAUGUAGGGGAGACUGGAAUUCCUGGUGUAGCGGUGAAAUGCGCAGAUAUCAGGAGGAACACCGAUGGCGAAGGCAGGUCUCUGGGCAUUAACUGACGCUGAGGAGCGAAAGCAUGGGGAGCGAACAGG
rnacentral:rRNA from 1 species